UGAAGCUGUAAUGAAAAUGUCGAGUGUCGCUGGUACUGAUAUCGAAAAGAACGAAUACAGUAAGUUCGUGAUAAAGCUCAUGAAAGAGAUUACUAAUAUCUUUGACAAUCUGAAGUAUGUUCUACGCCAUGAAAUCAAAGCUGCGACAAUCGAGAAGCUGCGAAAACUGAGGCAAAAACCUUUGGAUCUUUUCAAAGCGCUUGAAAAACGGGAUUUUGCGAAAACCUAGACGAGCUCUGGAAGUUGCUAGAAAUGAUCCAGGAACCAGGUA